CCCAGCAGAAGACUGCCCCUCCCUGAGCCUGGUUCUGCUGGAGGUGUCUUCCUCAGAGGAAAUUUUUCUUUACCACUGUCGCCUGUGUGCUUGCUCUGGGGGUUGGUAAGGUUAGACCUUACUUGUGUGAAGUGCCUUGAGGCAACUUUGUCGUGAUUCUGUACUAUAAAAAUGAAAAUAAAUUGAA